rnacentral:rRNA from 1 species
CACGUAGGGUGCAAGCGUUGUCCGGAAUCAUUGGGCGUAAAGAGCUCGUAGGCGGCUUAGUAAGUCGGGUGUGAAAACCCCAGGCUCAACCUGGGGACGCCACCCGAUACUGCUAUAGCUAGAGUCCAGUAGGGGAGUGUGGAAUUCCCAGUGUAGCGGUGAAAUGCGCAGAUAUUGGGAGGAACACCAGCGGCGAAGGCGGCACUCUGGGCUGGUAUUGACGCUGAGGAGCGAAAGCGUGGGUAGCGAACAGG